GCACAGCCAAUCAGCAGAGGCCCUUGUUAUUAAAAACUCAGGCUGGUCACAGACCUUUCACGAGGUCAAGAGCAGUAAACACCUGUCUUGUACCAGCAACACAUUCUGAAGUUAAUAUGAAAGAGCUAGAUGUGUUUCGUCAGCACUGGCCUUUAUGAAGUCACAGGACUGCCAUUCAACGGGGCAAUGAAUUUCCACGCCAUACCAAGGCCAGCCUGAAGACACUUCCCCAGAACCCUCCUGACUCGCGCCAAGGGGACAGAGCAGCUGAUCAACUCCAGUGACCUCAGAGGAGACAGAUGGGUUUUGUGGCUCUGGAUCACGGAUGACAGCAUAGCCCAGAUCAUGCUGGGGCAGGCCUGCUUGUCCUGGUCCCUCUUUGGUGACACUCUCUGAAGGUGAAACUGAGUGGAGAAUGACCUAUUCACUCACUUCGAUGCAUCAGCAUGUUAAAGGACACACCUGGAAAGCUGAUGAAUAUUUUAUUGAGGUCCUCCCCUGAGACCCUCAGUGAAAUUCCCGCCUUUAGAAAAAUGGAUAAAAACCCUUAAGACAAAGGACCCAGUGUGUGCACUCUCCUCCUAGAGCACACCUGCACCUUCUUUCUUCAGGUGUGUAUCUUUGCUGUCUUUCCCCUGAGCCCUAAGGAUUCCCACAAGACUUGCAACCAGAGGAGCUACAGGCAGCGGCAGCGUAUCCUGCACUCACCCCCUGAGCCUGUCUCCAAGGGCUCUCACUUUGCCUCACAACCUGUUUCCGCAGUCCACGUACGCAGCUGGCUCACUUCUUCUGCCUCCGACUUUCUUUCUAAAAGGCUAGGGCAGCUCUCUGAGCAGCCCACUCCAAUCUUCUCCUCAAGUGCACUUUCACUUU